GAUGAACGCUGGCGGCGUGCCUAACACAUGCAAGUCGAACGAAGCACCUUACCUGAUUCUUCGGAUGAAAGUUUGGUGACUGAGUGGCGGACGGGUGAGUAACGCGUGGGUAACCUGCCCUGUACAGGGGGAUAACAGCUGGAAACGGCUGCUAAUACCGCAUAAGCGCACGAGGAGACAUCUCCUUGUGUGAAAAACUCCGGUGGUACAGGAUGGGCCCGCGUCUGAUUAGCUGGUUGGCAGGGUAACGGCCUACCAAGGCAACGAUCAGUAGCCGGUCUGAGAGGAUGAACGGCCACAUUGGAAAUGAGACACGGUCCAAACUCCUACGGGAGGCAGCAGUGGGGAAUAUUGCACAAUGGGGGAAACCCUGAUGCAGCAACGCCGGGUGAGUGAAGAAGUAUUUCGGUAUGUAAAGCUCUAUCAGCAGGGAAGAUAAUGACGGUACCUGACUAAGAAGCGCCGGCUAAAUACGUG
rnacentral:rRNA from 1 species